GCCAGCAUGGCAUAGUGGUUUGAGUGUUGGACUGUGACUCUGGAGGCCAGGGUUUGAUUCCCAACUCGGUCA
rnacentral:tRNA from 1 species